ACCAGCAGCCAUAUCACCCUGCAACUCACCACUGGCAACCUGUUAAAGCUCAGCAGGUGUGAGCCUGGUCAGUACCUGGAUGGGAGACCUCCUGGGGAAAACUAAGGUUGCUUCUGGAA
rfam:Lepisosteus oculatus linkage group LG9, whole genome shotgun sequence.